ensembl:lncRNA
CAAAUUCUCUGCCAGAAGAAUUUCCAAACACCGGGGUUAUCUCAAAGAUAAAUGGGGUCGGCUCAAACUUCCAGGCUGAACCUCAAUUGCUGGCCCCUCGAGCUUAACAUGCAAGUAUUCAUUAUGGUCCUUUUGUCUGUGGAAUGACCCCACACACCAAGCCACAGCCAAGGGAAUAACAAGGACAUUUGGAAAGCAAAGAGAUCUGGUUAGCUUUUCAGUUCAGUUCGGUCGCUCAGUUGUGUCUGACUCUUUGCGACCCCAUGAAUCGCAGCACGCCAGGCCUCCAUCGAGUCGGUGAUGCCAUCCAGCCAUCUCAUCCUCUGUUGUCCCCUUCUCCUCCUGCCCCCAAUCCCUCCCAGCAUCAGGGUCUUUUCCACUCUGUGCUCUGUGACAACAUAAAGGAGUGGGAUGGGGUCGGGGGGGAGGUUCAAAAGGAGGGGACAUAUGUAUACCUAUGGUUGAUUCACAUUCAUAUAUAGCAGAUGCCAACACAACAUUAUAAAGUAAUUAUCC